AAACUUUNCAAUGCAGGAAACUGUGAUAAGGGAACCCCGAGUGCCUGUAUGGACAGNCUGUUCAGGUGCGCAAAAAACACUUGGAGAAAGGGCCGGGCAAGACCGGUGCCAGCCGCCGCGGUAAUACCGGCGGCUCGAGUGGUGGCCACUAUUACUGGGCUUAAAGCGUCCGUAGCUGGGUAGUUAAGUCUCUGGGGAAAUCUUUCGGCUCAACCGAAAGGCGUCUCAGGGAUACUGGCUACCUUGGGAUCGGGAGAGGUGAGAGGUACUCUGGGGGUAGGAGUGAAAUCCUGUUAUCCUCAGGGGACCACCUGUGGCGAAGGCGUCUCNCCAGAACGACUCCGACAGUGAGGGACGAAAGCUGGGGGAGCAAACCGGAUUAGAUACCCGGGUAGUCCCAGCUGUAAACUAUGCGCGUUAGGUGUAUCAGUGGCCACGAGCUACUGAGGUGCCGAAGGGAAACCGUGAAACGCGCCGCCUGGGAAGUACGGUCGCAAGGCUGAAACUUAA
rnacentral:rRNA from 1 species